UUAAAUUGGCUGCGUGAAGUUUUGAAGCCAUUAAGGCCUCCUGCAGAGGUGUCUGCAGGGACGACGUUUCCAGGUCCUAUGCUGGUUCCUCCACACGAGCCCAACUCACAUGGCAGGGGCAAGAACCAACCUCCAGGAGAGAAAAAGUCCCUUUAUUCAAAUGAAGUUCUGAAAGAAAUCAUGAAGGAACUGCAGAGAGGGCACA